UACAGAGGUCUCAAGCGUUGUUCGGAUUCAUUGGGCGUAAAGGGUGCGUAGGUGGCGCCGUAAGUGGGGUGUGAAAUCUCGGGGCUUAACUCCGAAACUGCAUUCCAUACUGCGGUGCUCGAGGACUGGAGAGGAGACUGGAAUUCAUGGUGUAGCAGUGAAAUGCGUAGAGAUCAUGAGGAAGACCAGUGGCGAAGGCGGGUCUCUGGACAGUUCCUGACACUGAGGCACGAAGGCCAGGGGAGCAAACGGG
rnacentral:rRNA from 1 species